rnacentral:rRNA from 1 species
AUGUCCUGCAAGAUGCGCGGCUGUGACAUGCUGGCGUUGGCCGCCACCCGCCCUAUGAUCUGCGAGGAGUGCUACAUGGACUGCGUCGCCGCCUCCGGCAACUGCCCAGGCUGCAAGGAGGCCUACUCUGCCGGCAGCGACACCGACGACUCCGUCGACGAGGACGACGACGACGCCAUCUCCUCGUCGGAGGAGAGGGACCAGAUGCCCAUGACAUCCAUGUCCAAGCGCUUCUCCAUGGUGCACUCCAUCAAGAUGCCUAUGUCCAGCAGCAACGACAAGCCGGCCGACUUCGACCACGCCCGGUGGCUCUUCGAGACCAAGGGCACCUACAGCUACGGCAACGCUCUAUGGCCCGAGAACGAGCACGGCGGCGGCGGCAACAACGCUGGGGCCACCUUCGGAUUCGUCGGCAUCGAGGAGCCGCCCAACUUCGGUGCCCGCUGCUGCCGGCCCCCGACGAGGAAGACCAGCGUCUCUCAGGCCAUACUCAGCCCAUACAGGUACCAAUUCCUCGUGUAA